GAUGAACGCUAGCGGCAGGCUUAAUACAUGCAAGUCGAGGGGCAGCACGGUUAGCAAUAACUGGUGGCGACCGGCGCACGGGUGCGUAACACGUAUACAAUCUACCUUAAACAGGGGGAUAGCCUUUCGAAAGAGAGAUUAAUACCCCGUAAUAAAUUGAACGGCAUCGUUUGAUUUUGAAAGCUCCGGCGGUUUGAGAUGAGUAUGCGUCUGAUUAGCUAGUUGGUGAGGUAACGGCUCACCAAGGCGACGAUCAGUAGGGGAUCUGAGAGGACUAACCCCCACACUGGUACUGAGACACGGACCAGACUCCUACGGGAGGCAGCAGUAAGGAAUAUUGGUCAAUGGAGGCAACUCUGAACCAGCCAUGCCGCGUGCAGGAUGACGGCCCUAUGGGUUGUAAACUGCUUUUAAUACAAGAGAAAACCCUGGUAACGUGUACCAGGUUGAUAGUAUUGUAAGAAUAAGCAAUCGGCUAACUUCGUGCCAGCAGCCGC
rnacentral:rRNA from 1 species